rnacentral:misc_RNA from 1 species
AUAUCAGAGAAGCUUUCACAAAGAAUAGCAAAACUCUCUGGUGGUGUGGCUAUAUUGAAGGUAGGAGCACAUACUGAAACAGAACUGGAAGACCGAAAGCUGAGAAUUGAGGAUGCAAAAAGUGCCACAUUUGCUGCCAUGGAUGAAGGAAUAGUGCCUGGUGGUGGUGCCACUUUUAUUCAUCUUUCUGAACAAAUACCCUUGAUAAAAGAAUCUUUUCAGGAUCCAGAUGAGCAGAUCGGUGCUGACAUAAUA